GAUGAACGCUGGCGGCGUGCCUAAUACAUGCAUUUCGAGCGAACGGACGAGAAGCUUGCUUCUCUGAUGUUAGCGGCGGACGGGUGAGUAACACGUGGAUAACCUACCUAUAAGACUGGGAUAACUUCGGGAAACCGGAGCUAAUACCGGAUAAUAUUUUGAACCGCAUGGUUCAAAAGUGAAAGACGGUCUUGCUGUCACUUAUAGAUGGAUCCGCGCUGCAUUAGCUAGUUGGUAAGGUAACGGCUUACCAAGGCAACGAUGCAUAGCCGACCUGAGAGGGUGAUCGGCCACACUGGAACUGAGACACGGUCCAGACUCCUACGGGAGGCAGCAGUAGGGAAUCUUCCGCAAUGGGCGAAAGCCUGACGGAGCAACGCCGCGUGAGUGAUGAAGGUCUUCGGAUCGUAAAACUCUGUUAUUAGGGAAGAACAUAUGUGUAAGUAACUGUGCACAUCUUGACGGUACCUAAUCAGAAAGCCACGGCUAACUACGUGCCAGCAGCCGCGGUAAUACGUAGGUGGCAAGCGUUAUCCGGAAUUAUUGGGCGUAAAGCGCGCGUAGGCGGUUUUUUAAGUCUGAUGUGAAAGCCCACGGCUCAACCGUGGAGGGUCAUUGGAAACUGGAAAACUUGAGUGCAGAAGAGGAAAGUGGAAUUCCAUGUGUAGCGGUGAAAUGCGCAGAGAUAUGGAGGAACACCAGUGGCGAAGGCGACUUUCUGGUCUGUAACUGACGCUGAUGUGCGAAAGCGUGGGGAUCAAACAGGAUUAGAUACCCUGGUAGUCCACGCCGUAAACGAUGAGUGCUAAGUGUUAGGGGGUUUCCGCCCCUUAGUGCUGCAGCUAACGCAUUAAGCACUCCGCCUGGGGAGUACGACCGCAAGGUUGAAACUCAAAGGAAUUGACGGGGACCCGCACAAGCGGUGGAGCAUGUGGUUUAAUUCGAAGCAACGCGAAGAACCUUACCAAAUCUUGACAUCCUUUGACAACUCUAGAGAUAGAGCUUUCCCCUUCGGGGGACAAAGUGACAGGUGGUGCAUGGUUGUCGUCAGCUCGUGUCGUGAGAUGUUGGGUUAAGUCCCGCAACGAGCGCAACCCUUAAGCUUAGUUGCCAUCAUUAAGUUGGGCACUCUAAGUUGACUGCCGGUGACAAACCGGAGGAAGGUGGGGAUGACGUCAAAUCAUCAUGCCCCUUAUGAUUUGGGCUACACACGUGCUACAAUGGACAAUACAAAGGGCAGCGAAACCGUGAGGUCAAGCAAAUCCCAUAAAGUUGUUCUCAGUUCGGAUUGUAGUCUGCAACUCGACUACAUGAAGCUGGAAUCGCUAGUAAUCGUAGAUCAGCAUGCUACGGUGAAUAAGUUCCCGGGUCU
rnacentral:rRNA from 1 species